UACGUAGGGGGCAAGCGUUGUCCGGAAUCAUUGGGCGUAAAGAGCGUGUAGGCGGCUCGAUAAGUCUGCUGUGAAAGUCCAGGGCUCAACCCUGGAAGGCCGGUGGAAACUGUCGGGCUAGAGUCCGGAAGAGGCGAGUGGAAUUCCCGGUGUAGCGGUGAAAUGCGCAGAUAUCGGGAGGAACACCGGUGGCGAAGGCGGUUCUCUGGGCCUUACCUGACGCUGAGGAGCGAAAGCGUGGGGAGCGAACAGG
rnacentral:rRNA from 1 species